ensembl:lncRNA
UAAUAAACAUGGCAGAAGCCUAUUAGGUCUCUCUCUCUCCUUCACUUUUUCUCUCUCUUUAUCUUUCACUUUCUCUCUCUCGCUGUCUCUCUCUCUCUCUCUCUCUCUCUCUCUCUCUCUCUCUCUCUCUCUCUCUCUCUCUCCCCCCCUUCUUUGUCUUUUGCACAAACACAGCCAGUUGUGUUUUUCCUUUUUUUACAAAUGUGUUGCAGACACAGUCACGUAGCUACUUCCUGUUCUCUCAGUAACAGUAUGGCAGAGAGAGAGGAAGUACGACUAAAACCACAACUCUUGAGAAAAGGUAUCCCUCACUUCACCAGAAGGACCCCCCCACUCUCUUGAUUCGCUUGAGACAGAGAAGAGACGUGAAGAAAGAGGUAAGUAAAAGCUGUUCAUCUUGAGGUGAAACACCGGAAAAGGUCUCCUUGUGAAGUAAUGGUUAUUUUAAUGAAUAUAGCUUUGUCCUUCUACUAUUUCUAUAUAAUUCUAUUUUAAAUUAGUCUCGUAUGUAAAAUAAAUACUGUACAGUUACCUAUAUAUUUAUCAUGUUUUGAUGUGUUUCUGACCUGGAUUUGUUUGUAACACAUGCAUGUUUUUGUACGGUGUGUGUGUGUGUAUGUGUGUAUGUGUGUGUGUGUGUGUGUGUGUGUGUGUGUGUGUGUGUGUGUGUGUGUGUAUGUGUGUGUGUGUGUGUGUGUGUGUGUGUGUGUGUGUGUGUGUGUGUGUGUGUGUGUGUGUGUGUGUGUGUGUGUGUGUGUGUGUGUGUGUGUGUGUGUGUGUGUGUGUGUGUGUGUGUGUGUGUGUGUGUGUGUGUGUGUGUGUGUGUGUGUGUGUGUGUAUGUGUGUGUGUGUGUGUGUGUGUGUGUGUGUGUGUGUGUGUGUGUGUGUGUGUGUGUGUGUGUGUGCAUAACACACCUGUCCUUCUCUACUCCAGAUGCUACAUUUGUGGAUGAUAACAGGGCGGACCUCAUUCAGAGGGUUACCACGGUGAAACUCAUAGCAGAAACACUUCUCCAGUGGCGUAUGAUCCACAAAGAGGCGUACCUUAAGAUCCUUGCUGCCCAGACCACACCAGAUCAGAUGAGGGAGCUGUACAACGUCUUAAACACAGACAAAGUCAAAUCAGCCUUCUAUAGGCUCCUUCAGAAGGAAGAGCCUUAUUUGGUCCAGGUGCCAGGUAGGUUAUACGGUCUGAUGUACCACGGCUGUCAUCCAAUCAGAAUUAAGGGCUCGAACCACCCAUUUUAUGUCUGAUAUACCACAGCUUUUAACCAAUCAGCAUCCAGAACCCAAACCACCCAGUUUAUAACAACGAUAAUAUUAUAAUACAUGAAGGCACAAUUUAUAGUACAAUAUGUACGUGUGUUUUGUAAAUUGUGCACAGUAUUUAGCAAUAAUAAUUAACCAGUUGUGAUGUGUGAUGUGUAAUGUGUAAUGUGUGAGUGUGAGUGUGUGUGUGUGUGUGUGUGUGUGUGUGUGUGUGUGUGUGUGUGUGUGUGUGUGUGAGUGUGAGUGUGUGUGUGUGUGUGUGUGUGUAUGUGAGU